rnacentral:rRNA from 1 species
UUUCUUCGGAAUGAAGUUUUAGUGACUGAGUGGCGGACGGGUGAGUAACGCGUGGGUAACCUGCCUCACACAGGGGGAUAACAGUUAGAAAUGGCUGCUAAUGCCGCAUAAGCGCACAGUACCGCAUGGUACAGUGUGAAAAACUCCGGUGGUGUGAGAUGGACCCGCGUCUGAUUAGCUAGUUGGCAGGGCAACGGCCUACCAAGGCGACGAUCAGUAGCCGGCCUGAGAGGGUGAACGGCCACAUUGGGACUGAGACCGGCCCAAACUCC